rnacentral:rRNA from 1 species
UCAGAUUGAACGCUGGCGGAAUGCUUUACACAUGCAAGUCGAACGAUGAUUUCUAGCUUGCUAGAAUGAUUAGUGGCGAACGGGUGAGUAAUGUACCGGAACGUAUCCAAUAAUGGGGGAUAACUAAUCGAAAGGUUGGCUAAUACCGCAUACGCCCUACGGGGGAAAGCAGGGGAUCUUCGGACCCUUGCGUUAAUGGAGCGGCCGAUAUCUGAUUAGCUAGUUGGUGAGGUAAAAGCUCACCAAGGCGACGAUCAGUAGCUGGUCUGAGAGGACGACCAGCCACACUGGAACUGAGACACGGUCCAGACUCCUACGGGAGGCAGCAGUGGGGAAUUUUGGACAAUGGGCGAAAGCCUGAUCCAGCCAUUCCGCGUGAGUGAAGAAGGCCUUCGGGUUGUAAAGCUCUUUCGCAAGGGAAGAAACGAUGCAGUCGAAUAAACUGUGUUAAUGACGGUACCUUGAUAAGAAGCACCGGCUAACUACGUGCCAGCAGCCGCGGUAAUACGUAGGGUGCAAGCGUUAAUCGGAAUUACUGGGCGUAAAGCGUGCGCAGGCGGUUUUGUAAGUCAGAUGUGAAAUCCCCGAGCUCAACUUGGGAACUGCGUUUGAAACUACAAGACUAGAAUAUGUCAGAGGGGGGUAGAAUUCCACGUGUAGCAGUGAAAAUGCGUAGAGAUGUGGAGGAAUACCAAUGGCGAAGGCAGCCCCCUGGGAUAAUAUUGACGCUCAUGCACGAAAGCGUGGGGAGCAAACAGGAUUAGAUACCCUGGUAGUCCACGCCCUAAACGAUGUCUACUAGUUGUUGGUGGAGUAAAAUCCAUGAGUAACGCAGCUAACGCGUGAAGUAGACCGCCUGGGGAGUACGGUCGCAAGAUUAAAACUC